AACACGACUCUCGGCAAUGGAUAUCUCGGCUCUCGCAUCGAUGAAGAGCGCAGCGAAAUGCGAUACGUGGUGCGAAUUGCAGAAUCCCGCGAACCAUCGAGUCUUUGAACGCAAGUUGCGCCCGAGGCCAACCGGCUGAGGGCACGUCCGCCUGGGCGUCAAGC
rnacentral:rRNA from 1 species